CUUUGCUUUGCUGUCCACGUAAAAAAAAAAAAAAAAUUUUUUUUUUCUCUUUCUGUUCUCCACUUUAUCGUCCAGAGAGCUGGGUAGUUCCCAAAGGAAGAGUGCUUUACAGAAUGUAAGGGUGAUUUAUAGGCAAAGGCAGAAAAUGAUUAGUUUUAACCUUCCAGUUCCAUACCCCCAAAAUGAACAUAAACUUUCGUGGUAGUCAUUACUGGAAAUGCAGAUAAUUUUAAUUCCGUUGCAUUUUUCAGAAUUAUCAGUCAUAACCCUCUGUCAGCUGUUGAAGAUUCCUAUCUUUUUAAGUUACCAGCAUUAAAAUAUUUAGACAUGGGAUCAACACAGGUGUCACUUACAACAGUUGAGAGCAUCCUCAUGAUGACCCUUGAAUUGGAAACACUGAUAUUACCUAGCCAUAUGGCCUGCUGUCUCUGCCAAUUUAAAAAUACUAUUGAGGUUGUCUGUAAGACAGUCAAGCUACAUUGUGACAGUUCAUGUCUGACAAAUGGCACACGUUGUGGUAAGUCCUAAUUGCCUGAUGAUAAAUUUGUAAAUUUUUAUUUUAUUUGUGGUUUAACUUUUAUUUUUAAUCAACAAUGAUAAUU